rnacentral:rRNA from 1 species
GAUGAACGCUGGCGGCGUGCCUAAUACAUGCAAGUCGUGCGAACAGACGAGGAGCUUGCUCCUCUGACGUUAGCGGCGGACGGGUGAGUAACACGUGGAUAACCUACCUAUAAGACUGGGAUAACUUCGGGAAACCGGAGCUAAUACCGGAUAACAUGUUGAACCGCAUGGUUCAACAGUGAAAGACGGUCUUGCUGUCACUUAUAGAUGGAUCCGCGCCGCAUUAGCUAGUUGGUAAGGUAACGGCUUACCAAGGCAACGAUGCGUAGCCGACCUGAGAGGGUGAUCGGCCACACUGGAACUGAGACACGGUCCAGACUCCUACGGGAGGCAGCAGUAGGGAAUCUUCCGCAAUGGGCGAAAGCCUGACGGAGCAACGCCGCGUGAGUGAGGAAGGUCUUCGGAUCGUAAAACUCUGUUAUUAGGGAAGAACAAAUGUGUAAGUAACUAUGCACGUCUUGACGGUACCUAAUCAGAAAGCCACGGCUAACUACGUG